GACGAACGCUGGCGGCGUGCUUAACACAUGCAAGUGGAGCGACGAACCGGGGCUUGCCCCGGGGCAGAGCCGCGAACGGGUGAGUAACACGUGGGUAACCCACCCCGAUGACCGGGACGAACCCGAGGAAACUCGGGCUAAUACCGGAUGUGCUCCUUGACCUCGAGGUCAAGGCGUAAAGAUAGCUUCGGCCUUCGACA
rnacentral:rRNA from 1 species